AGAUGCAAGCGCUGCUGAGGCAGCCGAAUGUGGCCAGAAACCUGAAAGGUCACGCCGCAACCGCGGUGGUUCAACCCCCAAGUACGAUUCGCAUCCGGCAGCUCGUACGGUCACUACCCAUGUGAUGGAUGC
rnacentral:ncRNA from 1 species